rfam:Schistosoma curassoni strain Dakar, Senegal genome assembly, scaffold: SCTD_scaffold0008982
AUCCAGCUGACAAGUCCCAAAUAGGACGAAACACAGGUCCUGGAU